UACACACACACACACACAUAAUGGCAAAGGCCAGUGCCUUAACAAAGCACAACAAUGAUAUAUUUAUUAAUGAAUGCAUAGUUAUUAAUUAAGGUCCUAAUUGUAAAUUCCUUAUAAAUUAAGUAAUGAUUUAGAAAUUAUUCAUAUAAGAAUAUAUUCUAACUCUGGAAUCUUGCUUCCCUAAGAAAUUGACAUAUACUUGUUUUGCCUGUGGAAACAUAAAAGUAUUUUCUAAAAGCUAACUCACUAACAAAGCAAAAAAAUUUAUAUCAAACCAACGGUGAUUAGAUUUGAUAAUGCAAAUGUGAACUGACUUCUAAAUAAGAAAGGUACAAUUUUUCUUCCUUUUGGUUAAACAUAUAUCCUUUAUAUGCUAUAAUAGAUUUCAUGUACCUACACAAACACAUACCUAUAAGUAAUGUCCUGAACAAUAAAUAUGUUCUGGAAGUGAACUUCCAUGUCAUUCUAGCUUAGUGCCCUCACAAAGGAAAGAAGAAUUAUGACACUUCCCCCAAGGCAAGUAAACUUAUUUUUUAACAAAUGCUACUAAUAAAUUUUACUCAGUCAUAUGCUUUCCUUAGUCUAACAAUUUUGUCACUGUAUUUGCCUUUUAGAGUGUAUAUAAAAUAUGUGUGUGGUUUUCUUUUUUUGUUCAUUACAGGUUUUUCUCCACUUAGAGCAUUUGGAAGGAAACAUAUUUGCCUCUGUAAAGUACUAGUUCCUUCUGUAACAUCAGAGUGUUACAGGUAACAGAGUUGGAGAAUCGUAUAAGGAUGGGAAUUCUGGGUGGCGAGAAUAUCAAUGAAGAUCAGAGCACCCAAGACCUGCACAGCCAAGUAAUCAAAGAACAGGCCAAGACUUGAAGAGUAAUGGAACUUACAGUCAGAAGUAUUCUAGUGGAUUGUGAACAAAUAAAUCAGAAGGGAAGAAUACUAAUGUACACUUUCCCUGGAAGAGUUA